UUAUCCCCCCCUUUAUAUCCAAACGCUAAUUUUUUAUCCGAGAAUAGUAGUUCUCGGUUAUCCCCACCAACACCUUCAUUUUCUAUAUAAAACUACCUAAAAUUGUUCUUAUUCCCGGGAACAAUCUAAUUUUCAUCCAAACACUAUUUUUCUUAUCCCCAUACUUGUACUUAUCCCUGUAAUAGCUAGUUCUUACUUAUAUCCGAACCAAAU
rnacentral:lncRNA from 1 species